GACAGAGGUCCCAAGCGUUAGGCGGAAUCACUGGGCUUAAAGCGUGUGUAGGCGGAUGCCUAAGUACCUUGUGAAAUCCCACGGCUCACCCGUGGAACUGCUUGGUAUACUGGGUGUCUUGAGCCACUUAGGGGCUACCGGAACAAAUGGUGGAGCGGUGAAAUGCGUAGAUAUCAGGAAGAACACCAAUGGCGAAGGCAGCUCUCUGGGACGGUACUGACGCUGAGACGCGAAAGCGUGGGGAGCGAACAGG
rnacentral:rRNA from 1 species